CCCUGGGGCAGUGUGUGGCCAGACCCUGCCUGUGUGAGGGAUUGGGAGGCUCCGGCGCUCGGCGGCCCGGAGUGAAGGGCAGCAGGGAGAGGCACGGCAGAGGGCGGCUGUCAGAACUUCCCUCGCCUCUCCACGGUGGGUGAAUUGAUGGAUGUGCCUAUUAACCGUGCCCCAGUUGUGUCGUGCUGCUCCGGAGCAUCCCCACGGCGCUGCUGGAGCGGGAGAACAGCCGGUUACGGGUGUCCAUCACCCGGCACGUGCCCCGGGCUCUGCUGGAGCCUGCUGAGCCUUACCUGCCGUGAGCAGCCAUCAAUCCCAGCUCUCUGAGGAGCACAGUGGAGAAGCUGACAGGGCACAGGUCCUGGAGGCCCCACAGAGGGUGUGGAGCACCCCUGAAAUCUCCCUGUGGGAAUGCUGGGGCAGCACUGGCCACGCUCCCACCCCCAGCACUGCCCCGGCUGUGGCAGCUCCCAGGGACAGAGCUGAGGACACACAGGGUGCCCUGGGCUCCCUUGGCACCCAAAGCACCCAGCAGGACCAAGCUCCGCUCUGGAGCGGGCUCAUCCCCCAGGCAGAGCAGAUGGGGGCCUGUCCUGCCCCUCCAGGCUGCGGCACAAAAGCAUCGAGGGCAGAGUCAGUGUUUUGUUGUUCUUUUGUUUGUUUGACUGUACAAAGAGCAAUAAAAACAUCCCGCACUCGGCAGAGUGCUCGGCACGAGAAGCCAUGGGGAAGGCGCACAGCCAAGGCCACAGCACGACCCAGAGCAGCCCCUCCUGUGUGUACAGAUCUGUAUUUGUGUAUUUGUCGGCUCUGCUGUGUGCAGCUAUGUACAGACAGAUGCAUUGGCAAGUUGCAAUCCGAGGGUAGUGCACGAAAAGAAAUGAAAGGCAGAUGCAAGACCGGUCAUGUGCAACACUCAGAGACCUCUGUGCCCCCGAGUGCUGGCUCAGUCCCUCCAGGAGCUGGGGACAGCCCGGCUCUGGAGAGGGCGGCGGGAGCCCUGCUGGCACUGGGAGGGAGUGGGGACAGCCCUGCCCUCCCCCUGGGAGGGAGCCAGGCGUGGGACACGGCACAUUCCUGCUGCGGAUGGGAGGGGAGCAGCGUGGAGCUCAGCGGGGUCCAGCGGGAUGGACAGGGCACGUGGGGCCGGGGUGGAAAGCGAUGGAGCAGAGCAGGGAGGGCACAGCUGUCCCGCCAUCCCUGGAGCCUGAUGGCAUUGCCAGGAUGGUACCUACACAGGGACGCUGCAAAGGUGUCCCCUCUCCCUGGCAGUGCUGCUCGUGGGUGACGGGACCUCCAUCACCUGGCCCCUGCAGUGUCCCCUGCGGCUCCGUGCACUGUCCCCCUCCUGGCAGCCACAGGAGAGGAAAAGCUCAGGUCUGGUGCCACAGGGGACACUGCCCUGGGUCAUUCCCUGCCUGAAGCCCCGGUGCUGCAGCCAGCACAGCUCACCUGCCAGGUGAGGCAGGUGGCACACGGGGCUGGGCACGCUGGCAGUGCAUUGCCAUGGCAGUUACAGUGUGCAGUGCUCUGCAGGGAGGCUGGAGGAGGCAGUCUCAGCAUCUCCAGGGUGACAGAGCUGUCCUAACUCUGGGCCUGCUGUUGUGCCCAGUCUUUGCCAGACAGUGCCCAAAAGCUCCUCUCCCUUUCAGCAGCUCUUUGUCCCAAGCAGCCUCACCCCAGCACUCCCCAGCACCUCAGUCUGAGACAUCAGCUGGGCAUUUUCCACCACAAACACCCUCCCCAAAAAGGAAA